rnacentral:rRNA from 1 species
AUGAACGCUAGCGGCAGGCUUAACACAUGCAAGUCGAGGGGCAUCGGGAGUAGCAAUACUUGCCGGCGACCGGCGCAAGGGUGCGUAACGCGUGAGCAACAUGCCCGUAUCAGGGGGAUAAUCCAUGGAAACGUGGUCUAAUACCCCAUAGUAAUUAUGUAAGGCAUCUUAUAUAAUUUAAAGCUUUGGUGGAUACGGAUUGGCUCGCGUGACAUUAGCUGGAUGGUAAGGUAACGGCUUACCAUGGCUACGAUGUCUAGGGGUUCUGAGAGGAAGGUCCCCCACACUGGAACUGAGACACGGUCCAGACUCCUACGGGAGGCAGCAGUGAGGAAUAUUGGACAAUGGAUGGAAAUCUGAUCCAGCCAUGCCGCGUGCAAGGAAGACGGCCCUAUGGGUUGUAAACUGCUUUUGUAUGGGAGCAAUAAGGGCUACGUGUAGUCCGAUGAGAGUACCAUACGAAUAAGCACCGGCUAACUCCGUGCCAGCCGCGGC